GACGAACGCUGGCGGCGUGCCUAAUACAUGCAAGUUGAGCGCUGAAGGUUGGUACUUGUACCAACUGGAUGAGCAGCGCACGGGUGAGUAACGCGUGGGGAAUCUGCCUUUGAGCGGGGGACAACAUUUGGAAACGAAUGCUAAUACCGCAUAAAAACUUUAAACACAAGUUUUAAGUUUGAAAGGUGCAAUUGCAUCACUCAAAGAUGAUCCCGCGUUGUAUUAGCUAGUUGGUGAGGUAAAGGCUCACCAAGGCGAUGAUACAUAGCCGACCUGAGAGGGUGAUCGGCCACAUUGAGACUGAGACACGGCCCAAACGCCUACGGGAGGAAGCAGUAGGGAAUCUUCGGCAAGAGACGAAAGUCAGACCGGGCAACGCCGCGUGAGUGAAGAAGGUUUUCGGCUCGUAAAACUCUGUUGGUAGAGAAGAACGUUGGUGAGAGUGGAAAGCUCAUCAAGUGACGGUAACUACCCAGAAAGGGACGGCUAACUACGUG
rnacentral:rRNA from 1 species